AACAAGGGAGUCCACACCUCAGGGAAGGUGUGACUUGUGCGUUGAUGAGGUGGCAGAUGGCUCAGAGGAGACAGUACCCAGGUCAAGGCCCUUGGUGGAACCUUCUCCUGGCAGGUGGGAAGGGCUCUCCUCUUAUCUGCCCCCAGAUAUCUUGAUGCAUACUUUUGCAGCCACAUUACCUGUAGCAAUGCAGAUGUUGGAGUAAGUGCUCUUACACUGCUGUGCUGACCUGGAAUGCAGACAGACAUUUUCCAAACCAAAUUCAGCACUUUAACACAGGAUCACGCUCCCAGCCUGCCUGAUUGCUGCCUUGGGUUGCAGCCUCAGCACGCCU